UGCAAGUCGAACGGUGAAGCCCUUCGGGGUGGAUCAGUGGCGAACGGGUGAGUAACACGUGGGCAAUCUGCCCUGCACUCUGGGACAAGCCCUGGAAACGGGGUCUAAUACCGGAUAUGACCAUUGACCGCAUGGUUGGUGGUGUAAAGCUCCGGCGGUGCAGGAUGAGCCCGCGGCCUAUCAGCUUGUUGGUGGGGUGAUGGCCUACCAAGGCGACGACGGGUAGCCGGCCUGAGAGGGCGACCGGCCACACUGGGACUGAGACACGGCCCAGACUCCUACGGGAGGCAGCAGUGGGGAAUAUUGCACAAUGGGCGAAAGCCUGAUGCAGCGACGCCGCGUGAGGGAUGACGGCCUUCGGGUUGUAAACCUCUUUCAGCAGGGAAGAAGCGCAAGUGACGGUACCUGCAGAAGAAGCACCGGCUAACUACGUGCCAGCAGCCGCGGUAAUACGUAGGGUGCGAGCGUUGUCCGGAAUUAUUGGGCGUAAAGAGCUCGUAGGCGGCUUGUCGCGUCGGAUGUGAAAGCCCGGGGCUUAACUCCGGGUCUGCAUUCGAUACGGGCAGGCUAGAGUUCGGUAGGGGAGAUCGGAAUUCCUGGUGUAGCGGUGAAAUGCGCAGAUAUCAGGAGGAACACCGGUGGCGAAGGCGGAUCUCUGGGCCGAUACUGACGCUGAGGAGCG
rnacentral:rRNA from 1 species